rnacentral:rRNA from 1 species
AGGAACGCGAAGAACCUUACCAGGUCUUGACAUCUUCUGCCAGGCUGAGAGAUCAGCUGUUCCCUUCGGGGACAGAAUGACAGGUGGUGCAUGGUUGUCGUCAGCUCAUGUCGUGAGAUGUUGGGUUAAGUCCCGCAACGAGCGCAACCCUUAUGAUCAGUUGCCAGCAUUCAGUUGGGCACUCUGGUCAGACUGCCGGUGACAAACCGGAGGAAGGCGGGGAUGACGUCAAAUCAUCAUGCCCCUUAUGACCUGGGCUACACACGUGCUACAAUGGGUGGUACAACGAGCAGCGAGACCGCGAGGUCAAGCGAAUCUCUAAAAACCAUCCUCAGUUCGGAUUGCAGGCUGCAACUCGCCUGCAUGAAGCUGGAAUCGCUAGUAAUCGCGGAUCAGCACGCCGCGGUGAAUACGUUCCCGGGUCUUGUA